rnacentral:rRNA from 1 species
GACGAACGCUGGCGGCGUGCUUAACACAUGCAAGUCGAACGGAAAGGCCCUGCUUGUGGGGUGCUCGAGUGGCGAACGGGUGAGUAACACGUGAGUAACCUGCCCUUGACUUUGGGAUAACUUCAGGAAACUGGGGCUAAUACCGGAUAGGAGCUCCUGCUGCAUGGUGGGGGUUGGAAAGUUUCGGCGGUUGGGGAUGGACUCGCGGCUUAUCAGCUUGUUGGUGGGGUAGUGGCUUACCAAGGCUUUGACGGGUAGCCGGCCUGAGAGGGUGACCGGCCACAUUGGGACUGAGAUACGGCCCAGACUCCUACGGGAGGCAGCAGUGGGGAAUAUUGCACAAUGGGCGGAAGCCUGAUGCAGCAACGCCGCGUGCGGGAUGACGGCCUUCGGGUUGUAAACCGCUUUCGCCUGUGACGAAGCGUGAGUGACGGUAAUGGGUAAAGAAGCACCGGCUAACUACGUG